rnacentral:tRNA from 1 species
GCCAAAGUGGCGGAAUUGGUAGACGCGCACGACUCAAAAUCGUGUUCCUUCGGGAGUGUGGGUUCGAUUCCCACCUUUGGUACGA